UACAGAGGGUGCGAGCGUUAAUCGGAAUUACUGGGCGUAAAGCGCGCGUAGGCGGCUUUGCAAGCCGGAUGUGAAAUCCCCAGGCCUAACCUGGGAACUGCAUUCGGGACUGCAUUGCUCGAGUAUGGGAGAGGGAAGUGGAAUUUCAGGUGUAGCGGUGAAAUGCGUAGAUAUCUGAAGGAACAUCAGUGGCGAAAGCGACUUCCUGGACCAAUACUGACGCUCAUGUGCGAAAGCGUGGGGAGCAAACAGG
rnacentral:rRNA from 1 species